GAUGAACGCUGGCGGCGUGCCUAAUACAUGCAAGUCGAGCGAACGGACGAGAAGCUUGCUUCUCUGACGUUAGCGGCGGACGGGUGAGUAACACGUGGAUAACCUACCUAUAAGACUGGGAUAACUUCGGGAAACCGGAGCUAAUACCGGAUCAUAUUUUGAACCGCAUGGUUCAAAAGUGAAAGACGGUUUUGCUGUCACUUAUAGAUGGAUCCGCGCUGCAUUAGCUAGUUGGUAAGGUAACGGCUUACCAAGGCAACGAUGCAUAGCCGACCUGAGAGGGUGAUCGGCCACACUGGAACUGAGACACGGUCCAGACUCCUACGGGAGGCAGCAGUAGGGAAUCUUCCGCAAUGGGCGAAAGCCUGACGGAGCAACGCCGCGUGAGUGAUGAAGGUCUUCGGAUCGUAAAACUCUGUUAUUAGGGAAGAACAUAUGUGUAAGUAACUAUGCACGUCUUGACGGUACCUAAUCAGAAAGCCACGGCUAACUACGUG
rnacentral:rRNA from 1 species